rnacentral:rRNA from 1 species
UACGUAGGGGGCAAGCGUUGUCCGGAUUCAUUGGGCGUAAAGAGCUCGUAGGCGGUCUGUUGCGUCCGCUGUGAAAACUCGGGGCUUAACCCCGAGCCUGCAGUGGAUACGGGCAGACUAGAGGUAGGUAGGGGAGAAUGGAAUUCCCGGUGUAGCGGUGAAAUGCGCAGAUAUCGGGAGGAACACCGGUGGCGAAGGCGGCAUCCUGGACCGGUAUUGACGCUGAGGCGCGAAAGCUAGGGGAGCAAACGGGG